AACGAACGCUGGCGGCAGGCUUAACACAUGCAAGUCGAACGCCCCGCAAGGGGAGCGGCCGACGGGUGAGUAACGCGUGGGAAUCUACCCAUCUCUACGGAAUAACGCAUGGAAACGUGUGCUAAUACCGUAUACGUCCUUCGGGAGAAAGAUUUAUCGGAGAUGGAUGAGCCCGCGUUGGAUUAGCUAGUUGGUGGGGUAAAGGCCUACCAAGGCGACGAUCCAUAGCUGGUCUGAGAGGAUGAUCAGCAACACUGGGACUGAGACACGGCCCAGACUCCUACGGGAGGCAGCAGUGGGGAAUAUUGGACAAUGGGCGCAAGCCUGAUCCAGCCAUGCCGCGUGAGAGAUGAAGGCCCUAGGGUUGUAAAGCUCUUUCACCGGUGAAGAUAAUGACGGUAACCGGAGAAGAAGCCCCGGCUAACUUCGUGCCAGCCGCCGCCGUAAGAC
rnacentral:rRNA from 1 species